UACGGAGAGUGCAAACGUUGUUCGGAUUCACUGGGCGUAAAGGGCACGUAGGCGGCUCGGCAAAUCGGUCGUGGAAUCCCGACGCUUAACGUUGGAACGGCGAUCGAAAAUACCGGGCUCGAGGGCGUGAGGGGUCACUGGAACUCCUGGUGAAGCGGUGAAAUGCGUAGAUAUCAGGAGGAACGCCGGAGGCGAAAGCGAGUGACUGGCGCGUUCCUGACGCUGAGGUGCGAAAGCGUGGGGAGCGAACAGG
rnacentral:rRNA from 1 species